rnacentral:rRNA from 1 species
UACGGGGGGAGCUAGCAUUGUUCGGAAUUACUGGGCGUAAAGCGCGCGUAGGCGGCUUAGAAAGUUGGAGGUGAAAUCCCAGGGCUUAACCCUGGAACUGCCUCCAAAACUCCUAAGCUAGAAUAUUAGAGAGGUGAGUAGAAUUCCUAGUGUAGAGGUGAAAUUCGUAGAUAUUAGGAAGAAUACCGGUGGCGAAGGCGGCUCACUGGCUAAUUAUUGACGCUGAGGUGCGAAAGCGUGGGGAGCGAACAGG